AACGAACGCUGGCGGCAUGCCUAACACAUGCAAGUCGAACGAGAUCUUCGGGUUUAGUGGCGCACGGGUGCGUAACGCGUGGGAAUCUGCCCUUUGGUUCGGAAUAACAGUUGGAAACGACUGCUAAUACCGGAUGAUGACGAAAGUCCAAAGAUUUAUCGCCAGAGGAUGAGCCCGCGUAGGAUUAGCUAGUUGGUGUGGUAGAGGCGCACCAAGGCGACGAUCCUUAGCUGGUCUGAGAGGAUGAUCAGCCACACUGGGACUGAGACACGGCCCAGACUCCUACGGGAGGCAGCAGUGGGGAAUAUUGGACAAUGGGCGAAAGCCUGAUCCAGCAAUGCCGCGUGAGUGAUGAAGGCCUUAGGGUUGUAAAGCUCUUUUACCCGGGAUGAUAAUGACAGUACCGGGAGAAUAAGCCCCGGCUAACUUCGUGCCAGCCGCCGCCGUAAUAC
rnacentral:rRNA from 1 species